rnacentral:rRNA from 1 species
AUUGAACGCUGGCGGCAGGCCUAACACAUGCAAGUCGAACGGUAGCACAGAGAGCUUGCUCUCGGGUGACGAGUGGCGGACGGGUGAGUAAUGUCUGGGAAACUGCCCGAUGGAGGGGGAUAACUACGGGAAACGGUAGCUAAUACCGCAUAACGUCGCAAGACCAAAGUGGGGGACCUUCGGGCCUCACACCAUCGGAUGUGCCUAGAUGGGAUUAGCUAGUAGGUGGGGUAAUGGCUCACCUAGGCGCCGAUCCCUAGCUGGUCUGAGAGGAUGACCAGCCACACUGGAACUGAGCCACGGUCCAGACUCCUACGGGAGGCAGCAGUGGGGAAUAUUGCACAAUGGGCGCAAGCCUGAUGCAGCCAUGCCGCGUGUAUGAAGAAGGCCUUCGGGUUGUAAAGUACUUUCAGCGGGGAGGAAGGCGGUGGAGUUAAUAGCUUCACCGAUUGACGUUACCCGCAGAAGAAGCACCGGCUAACUCCGUGCCAGCAGCCGCGGUAA